rnacentral:rRNA from 1 species
UACGUAGGGACCAAGCGUUGUCCGGAAUCAUUGGGCGUAAAGCGCGUGUAGGCGGCCUUUUAAGUCCUGCGUGAAAUCCUGCGGCUCAACCGCAGACGGUCGUGGGAAACUGGAAGGCUAGAGUGCGGGAGAGGAGAGUGGAAUUCCCGGUGUAGCGGUGAAAUGCGCAGAUAUCGGGAAGAACACCAGUGGCGAAGGCGGCUCGCUGGAACGCAACUGACGCUGAGACGCGAAAGCGUGGGGAGCAAACAGG